rnacentral:rRNA from 1 species
CGUGCAGGCGGUUUGGUAAGUUGGAUGUGAAAGCUCCUGGCUCAACUGGGAGAGGUCGUUCAAUACUACCAGACUUGAGAGUGGUAGAGGGAGGUGGAAUUCCCGGUGUAGUGGUGAAAUGCGUAGAUAUCGGGAGGAACACCAGUGGCGAAAGCGGCCUCCUGGACCAUUUCUGACGCUCAGACGCGAAAGCUAGGGGAGCAAACGGGAUUAGAGACCCCGGUAGUCCUAGCUGUAAACGAUGUGAACUUGGCGUCGGUGGUGUAAAAACCAUCGGUGCCGCAGCCAACGCGAUAAGUUCACCGCCUGGGGACUACGGCCGCAAGGUUAAA